CGAGUUGUUGCUGGUCCUCAAACGAGGGCACGUGCACGCUCUGUUCACACAUCCACUCACACCUGUGCACCCUCUGUAGUUCUAUGGUCUGGGAGGCGCACCGUCUUCCUCCUGUGGUUCUACGUCUCUACACACACACCGUAGCAAAGUCUUAUGGAAUGUUUGCCUGCGUUUAACGCAAUACAAUACAACUUUCAGCAACGGAUCUCUUGGCUCUCGCAUCGAUGAAGAACGCAGCGAAAUGCGAUAAGUAAUGUGAAUUGCAGAAUUCAGUGAAUCAUCGAAUCUUUGAACGCACCUUGCGCCCUUUGGCUAUUCCGAAGGGCAUGCCUGUUUGAGUAUCAUGAACACCUCAACUCUCACGGUUCGCCGCGAUGAGCUUGGACUUGGGGGUUUUGCUGGCAUGCAGCCGGCUCCUCUCAAAUGAAUCAGCUUACCAGUCUUUGGUGGCGUCACGGGUGUGAUAACUAUCUACGCUUGUGGGUCGUCUGCCGGGUAACCUUCAGCGAUGGAGGUUUGCUGGAGCUUAUAAAUGUCUCUCCUCGGCGAGGACAAAUUUUGAACGUUCGAUCUCAAAUCAGGUAGGACUACCCGCUGAACUUAAGCAUAUCAAUAA
rnacentral:rRNA from 1 species